rnacentral:lncRNA from 1 species
AGAAAGGAUCAUUUCUUGUUGCUCACUUCUGAACAAUAAAAAUAUGCUAAGGUUAUGAAAGACAUUCAUUGCCAGGUCAAGGGUGACCAUUUUCUUUCUGGUAAACAUAGGACCAGAAAUAAAAUAGCCUCAGCAUAAAGGCCCUCACCC